CUCAGUUCCUCUGAUGUUGUUCUCGUUGACUGGGAGUCAAAAUGUUCCAUUUCCUCAUCACAUUCUCUGUACUACUUAUUUGCCUUAUGGGUCUCUCUCUCAGCCUUGAGGUUUAUCAGACUCCCUCUGAAGUCUUACUGAAACGUGGAGAGAACGUUCAGAUCUUCUGCCACCAUGAGAGAACUAACUACAGACUGAUGCAGUGGUUCCAGCAGUCACCGGGAGAACUCAAAUGUAUAGCCUAUUUAUUGUUUAAGUCUCAAACCACGUACAUUGAAGAACAUCUAAACUCAGUUCAGAUGAGAUGUCAGUUAGUUGUUGAUGUUCAGCUCCAGACUCAACAUGAUCAGAACCCUCUUACUCGGUUGGCUCUCAGGUCUCUGUCUCAGUGUUGAGGUUCACCAGACUCCCUCUGCAGUCUUCAGCAGACCUGGAGAGAAUGUUCAACUCUUCUGCCAACAUCAGAAAACAGACUAUAGAGUGAUGUUGUGGUACCAGAAACCACAAGGAGAAACAGCACUGAAACUCAUUGGAUAUUUGAAUUUUAAUUCUCAAACCAUUGAGAGUUCAUAUGAAAAGCAUUUUAAUAUGAGUGGGGAUUUGGGUGGAGGUGGCCCAAAGAAUGCCUCUCUGAACAUCUUCAACUUGAGACGACCCCAACACAGUGCUGUGUAUUUCUGUGCUGCUAGUAAGGCACAGUGUUGCAGAUUCCCCUGUCUACACUACAAAAACCUUCUCUCAGUCACUGUCUCACUAGAUUAUACUGAAGCAACACCUCCCUCUCACCUGCACUGAGGUCUGGAUUUGAUUCAGUGCCAAUAUAAUAAAACAGUACAGCUGUCUGAUGCCACGCCGCAUUCUGUCAUUACAUCACUGAUGAAGUCACUUCCUGUUCCACCUCUCCAGUCAGUUCAGAUGAGAUGAGAUGUCAGGUGGUUGUCAGCGAACACUAAGGCCCUGUCUAGACUUGACAGUUCAUGCAGCUUUAUUGUUCUGAUCAUAGAGAUCUGAUCAUGGAAUUCCCAACGCGUCAUGCAUCUAAACCUACAUUUAACUGUUUCUACCGUGUCCACUGUGUGUUUGGAUUCCAUUUUCCC
rnacentral:lncRNA from 1 species